rnacentral:rRNA from 1 species
UACGUAGGGGGCUAGCGUUGUCCGGAUUUAUUGGGCGUAAAGAGCGUGUAGGCGGCCAGGUAGGUCUGCUGUGAAAACUCGAGGCUCAACCUCGAGCUGUCGGCGGAAACCAUCUGGCUAGAGUCCGGAAGAGGAGAGUGGAAUUCCUGGUGUAGCGGUGAAAUGCGCAGAUAUCAGGAAGAACACCUAUGGCGAAGGCAGCUCUCUGGGACGGUACUGACGCUGAGACGCGAAAGCGUGGGGAGCGAACAGG